GGGGGAGUAGUUCAAUUUUUACCUAGUAGAACGUCCGCCUAGCGAGCGGAAGGGUGGGGGUGCAAGUCCCCUCUCCUCCACCA
rnacentral:tRNA from 1 species